rnacentral:rRNA from 1 species
UCCAGACUCCUACGGGAGGCAGCAGUGGGGAAUAUUGGGCAAUGGGGGCAACCCUGACCCAGCAACGCCGCGUGAAGGAAGAAGGCUUUCGGGUUGUAAACUUCUUUGACGAGGGACGAAAAAAAUGACGGUACCUCGAAAACAAGCCACGGCUAACUACGUGCCAGCAGCCGCGGUAAUACGUAGGUGGCAAGCGUUGUCCGGAUUUACUGGGUGUAAAGGGCGCGUAGGCGGGACUGCAAGUCAGAUGUGAAAUGCAGAGGCUCAACCUCUGAGCUGCAUUUGAAACUGUAGUUCUUGAGUAUCGGAGAGGCAGGCGGAAUUCCUAGUGUAGCGGUGAAAUGCGUAGAUAUUAGGAGGAACACCAGUGGCGAAGGCGGCUUACUGGACGGCAACUGACGCUGAGGCACGAAAGCGUGGGGAGCAAAUAGGAUUAGAUACCCCCGUACA